rnacentral:rRNA from 1 species
CGUCGGCGUCUUUAUAAGUUCUUUGGUUUAAGCCUGGGGCUUAACCCCAGAACAGCAAAGAAUACUGUAAAGAUUGAGUAUAUUCGGGGGAAUUAGAAUUCUCAGUGGAGGGGUGAAAUCCGUAGAGAUUGAGAAGAAUACCGUACGCGAAGGCAGAUUCCUAGAAUAUCACUGACGCUCAGGAACGAAAGCUUGGGUAGCAAAAGGGAUUAGAGACCCCUGUAGUCCAAGCCGUAAACAUUCCUCGCUAGCUGCCUUUUCUUUAAGAAAGGGUGGCGUAAGCUAACGCGUUAAGCGGGGCGCCUGGGAAUUACAGCCGCAAGGCUAAAACUCAAAGGAAUUGACGGGGGAGCGUACAACCGGUGGAGCAUGUGGUUUAAUUCGAUACAAAGCGAAGAACCUUACCUGGGUUUGACAUGCACCUGCAUGUUCUGUGAAAACAGAAUUCUUUCGAAGGUGGUGCACAGGUGAUGCAUGGCUGUCGUCAGCUCGUGUCGUGAGACGUCCGCUUAAGUGCGGUAACGAGCGCAACCCUUAUUGUCAGUUAUAGAUGUCUGACAAAACUGCCCUGCUACUAGCAGGGAGGAAGGAGAGGACGACGUCAAGUCAGCAUGUCCCUUAUAUCCAGGGCUACACACAUCCUACAAUGGGACUGACAACGGGCAGCAACGGGGUAACCCUAAGCUAAUCCCAAUAAACAGUCUCUCAGUUCAGAUUGAAGGCUGCAACUCGCCUUCAUGAAGUCGGAAUCGGUAGUAAUCGCAAAUCAGCAGGUUGCGGUGAAUACGUUCUCGCUCCUUGUACACACUGCCCGUCAAGCCAGCAAAGUCAGCAGUACCCGAAGCGGGUGACCAUAACUAUUUAUAGAAUGCCCCUCUACGGUAAG